rnacentral:rRNA from 1 species
CAGUGAUUACUUUAACGGCCGCGGUACCCUGACCGUGCAAAGGUAGCAUAAUCAUUUGCCUUUUAAUUGGAGGCUAGUAUGAAUGGUCUAACGAGAGUAAAACUGUCUCAUGUAUAUUCAAUAGAAACUAAUCUAAAGGUGCAAAAGCCUUUAUUCAUUAAAAAGACGAGAAGACCCUGUUGAGCUUUAAUCUCGAUUUAAGCAUCUUCUUUAUAUCUAUAAAUUUACCUUGCUUAACAUAGAUUUUAAUUGGGGCGAUUAAGGAACAUCCACUAGCUUCCUAAUUAUAAGCUACUUCGAUCCAGCAAUGCUGAUCAAUAGAUUGAGUUACCACAGGGAUAACAGCAUAAUUUUUCUUAAGAGUUCAUAUCGAAAGAAAAGAUUGUGACCUCGAUGUUGGACUAGGGUAACUAGAAGGUGCAGCCGCUUUCUUGUUUGGUCUGUUCGACCAAUAAUUCCCU